rnacentral:misc_RNA from 1 species
GAAGCAAAUGAUUCAAAAGCAAUAAACCCUCUGCAAUUAACACAUGCUUACUACUAUCCACCGUCGAAAUCCUUGAAAUUGCCGCAACAGUCUUCUCUUUCAUCUCCUGGGAGCUCGAAUCGAGUAAACGAACAAGUAUGGGAACAACACCCUGUGCAACAGCUAUCAUUACAUUCUUAUCAUUCUCCUGGAGCAUCCCGAGCAGUGAUUCCAUGGCGGAAUUCUUCGACUCGCAACUACCAAUCUGCAAUCGGGUGAUUAAGUUCCUCGACUCGGCCCUCACUGCCUCCAUCUUAGAAGAGACCCCUGAAACGACAGAGUCUUGAAGAACCCCACUUUUAAUCA